GAUGAAGAACGUAGUGAAAUGCGAUAAGUAAUGUGAAUUGCAGAAUUCAGUGAAUCAUCGAAUCUUUGAACGCAUCUUGCGCUCCUUGGUAUUCCUUGGAGCAUGCCUGUUUGAGUAUCAUGAGCAAAUCUCAAAGUCAAUUCCUUUUGUUAAUUCAAUUGGUUUUGCUUUGGACUUGGAGGUCUUGCAGAUUUCACAGUCUGCUCCUCUUAAAUGCAUUAGCUGGAUCUCAGUAAUUAUGCUUGGUUCCACUCGGCGUGAUAAGUAUCACUCGCUGAGGACACUGUUAAAAAGGUGGCCAGGAAAAUACUGAUUGAACCGCUUCUAACGGUCUAUUAAGUUAGACAAUUGACCCUUAAGUUUGAUCUCAAAUCAGGUAGGACUACCCGCUGAACUUAAGCAUAUCAAUAAGCGGAGGA
rnacentral:misc_RNA from 1 species